CUCCUACGGGAGGCAGCAGUGGGGAAUAUUGCACAAUGGGCGAAAGCCUGAUGCAGCCAUGCCGCGUGUGUGAAGAAGGCUCUAGGGUCGUAAAGCACUUUCAGUAGGGAGGAAAAGCUUAAGAUUAAUAAUCUUGAGCCUUGACGUUACUUACAGAAGAAGCACCGGCAAACUCCGUGCCAGCAGCCGC
rnacentral:rRNA from 1 species